UAACUUUUAUUAAUGUUUAAACAGGGAACGCUCUAAAAUAUGCAGAACAGUGGGAAUAUGCAGGAACAGGGUAGAGAAACACUGCUGUAACGUGACUUAUUUAUUUGUAGUUCACAGUAAGACCACAUGUCCUGUCGUUUAUAAAAAUCUCUAUGAAACCUAAAGUUACAUUCUUUUAAAUAAAAGGACACCAUCUUAAGAAGAGCUCUCAGUAGAAAAAAAAGCGCAGUUUUUUUAAAAGAGUGGAGAAAAUGUAAAUAUACAACAGAAUUUAAAUGCCAAUACAUAAUAAUAAUAAUAUUAAUAAUAAUAACAACAAUAAUUAAUAACCAAAUCUGUUAUUAUUUUAAAUAUUAGGUGAUAACUAUUCAGUUUUGUCAUAUGUAUUUAAUUCAGACUUUGCAUGCAUAUUUUUUUUAACAGUAACUGUAACAUGGAGUAACAUGUUUAGGGUCUAAAACCCUUUACUUGAAUGUUAACUAAUAUGAACAAAAUACAAAAAUGAUUAUCAAAAAAUCAGCAGUUUUAUCCGGUAAAGCUAAUGACUAGAGGCAUUGGGGCAGAAACGAUCUCAACCUAUUCUCAAACUUUAAAUGGGUAAGAAGCCCGGCUCGCUGGCUUGGAACCAGGCAUGGAAUGCGAGUGCCCAGUGGACCACUUUUGUAAGGCAGACUGGGCGCUGCGGGAUGAACCGAACGCCGGGUUAAGGCGCCCGACGCUCAUCAGACCCCAUGAAAGGUGUUGGUUGAUAUAGACAGCAGGACGGUGGCCAUGGAAGUUGGAAUCCGCUAAGGAGUGUGUUAAAACUCACCUGCCGAAUCAACUAGCCCUGAAAAUGGAUGGCGCUGGAGCGUCGGGCCCAUACCCGGCCGUCCUCGGCAGAGAGAGGGGGCUCAGUCCUUUCGGGCUUACGCCGCGACGAGUAGGAGGGCCGCCGCGUGAGCGGAAGCCUCGGGCGCGGGUGGAGCCGCCAACGGGUGCAGGAUCUUGUGGUAGUACAAAAUAAAAUUUUCAAACGAAGAAGCUGUGAAGCCGCAGUGGUAAGGGUUCCAUGUGACCAGCAGUUGCAACAUGGUCAGUCGGUCCUAAAAGGGAUGGGCGAACGCCGUUCGGAAGCCGUGGGGCGAUGCUACGUCGCCCCGGCCGAUCGAAAGGGAGUCGGGUUCAGAUCCCGAACCCGGAGUGGCGGAGAUAGGCGCCGCGAGGCGGCCAGUGCGGGUACGCAAAUGAACCUGGAGACGCCAGUGGGGCAACCGGAAGAGUUCUCUUUUCUUUGUGAAGGGCAGGGCUCCCUGGAAUGGGUUCACCCCGAGAUAGGGGCCCGCGCCCUGGAAAGCGCCGCGGCACUUGGCGGCGUCCGGUAAGCUCUCGCUGGCCCUUGAAAAUCCGGGGGAGAGGGUGUAAGUCUCGCGCCGGGCCGUACCCAUAUCCGCAGCAGGUCUCCAGGUGAACAGCCUCUGGCAUGUUGGAACAAUGUAGGCAAGGGAAGUCGGCAAGUCAGAUCCGUAACUUCGAGAUAAGGAUUGGCUCUAAGGGCCGGGUCGGUCGGCCAGGGAGCGAAGUGGGGCUGGGCUCGAGCUGCAACUGGGGGAGUGCUUGCCCCGCGCGCCCCGUCGUUCUGCCCCUCGUCCGGAAGCCUCGGAGCGCGUCGCGCCCGUCCUCUCUCGUCGUCCGGAGGCCCGGCCGUUUCGGCGGUCGGGUCGCUCGGGCGGCGGCGGGGGGGGUCUGGGCUCGGCUCUACGCUCCGGGGCCGGUAGGGCGGGGUAACGGGCGGGGCGCGGGCCGUGGAGCAGCGGCCGCGACUCUGGGCGUGCGCCGGGCCCUUCUCGCGGAUCUCCCCGGCUACGGUGCUGCGUCGGGACCUCCGCGUCCAUCCCCUCCCGCCUCGGCCGGCGCCUAACAGCUGACUUAGAACUGGUGCGGACCAGGGGAAUCCGACUGUUUAAUUAAAACAAAGCAUCGUGAGGGCUCUAAGCGGGUGUUGACACGAUGUGAUUUCUGCCCAGUGCUCUGAAUGUCAAAGUGAAGAAAUUCAAUGAAGUGCACCCCGGAGUCACUGGAAUAAGGCGGACUUUUUAGAAGGAGCAUUGAACAUUGGGGGGAGUUGAGAUUGACCUGAUACAUCUAGAUUGCUUAGUAUGGCUUAAGCGAGGCCAUUGGAACGCAUCCUGCCAACUCUCUCAAGAGUUGUGC
rfam:Astyanax mexicanus Tnplaced_Scaffold2998, whole genome shotgun sequence.